AGCGUGGCGGGAGACAGUGUCAGGUAGGCAGUUUGACUGGGGCGGUCGCCUCCCAAACAGUAACGGAGGCGCCCAAAGGUUCCCUCAGAAUGGUUGGAAAUCAUUCAACGAGUGUAAAGGCAGAAGGGAGCUUGACUGCGAGACAGACAGGUCGAGCAGGGACGAAAGUCGGGCUUAGUGAUCCGGUGGUACCGUAUGGAAGGGCCAUCGCUCAACGGAUAAAAGCUACCCUGGGGAUAACAGGCUUAUCUCCCCCAAGAGUCCACAUCGACGGGGAGGUUUGGCACCUCGAUGUCGGCUCAUCGCAUCCUGGGGCUGUAGUCGGUCCCAAGGGUUGGGCUGUUCGCCCAUUAAAGCGGUACGCGAGCUGGGUUCAGAACGUCGUGAGACAGUUCGGUCCCUAUCCGUCGCGGGCGUAGGAAAUUUGAGAGGAGCUGUCCUUAGUACGAGAGGACCGGGAUGGACAUACCGCUGGUGUACCAGUUGCGCCGCCAGGCGCACCGCUGGGUAGCUACGUAUGGAUGAGAUAAACGCUGAAAGCAUCUAAGUGUGAAACUCACCUCAAGAUGAGAUUUCCCAUUCCUAUAUGGAAGUAAGACCCCUGAGAGAUGAUCAGGUAGAUAGGUUGGAAGUGGAAGUGCAGUGAUGUACGGAGCGGACCAAUACUAAUCGGUCGAGGACUUAACCAAG
rnacentral:rRNA from 1 species